rnacentral:rRNA from 1 species
UACGUAGGUGGCAAGCGUUGUCCGGAAUUAUUGGGCGUAAAGAGCUCGUAGGCGGCUUGUCACGUCGGAUGUGAAAGCCCGGGGCUUAACCCCGGGUCUGCAUUCGAUACGGGCUAGCUAGAGUGUGGUAGGGGAGAUCGGAAUUCCUGGUGUAGCGGUGAAAUGCGCAGAUAUCAGGAAGAACACCCGUGGCGAAGGCGGCUCUCUGGAACGCAACUGACGCUGAGACGCGAAAGCGUGGGGAGCAAACAGG